rnacentral:rRNA from 1 species
AUUGAACGCUGGCGGCAUGCCUUACACAUGCAAGUCGGACGGCAGCACGGGUGCUUGCCCCUGGUGGCGAGUGGCGAACGGGUGAGUAAUACAUCGGAACAUGUCCUGUAGUGGGGGAUAGCCCGGCGAAAGCCGGAUUAAUACCGCAUACGAUCUACGGAUGAAAGCGGGGGACCUUCGGGCCUCGCGCGAUAGGGUUGGCCGAUGGCUGAUUAGCUAGUUGGUGGGGUAAAGGCCUACCAAGGCGACGAUCAGUAGCUGGUCUGAGAGGACGACCAGCCACACUGGGACUGAGACACGGCCCAGACUCCUACGGGAGGCAGCAGUGGGGAAUUUUGGACAAUGGGCGAAAGCCUGAUCCAGCAAUGCCGCGUGUGUGAAGAAGGCCUUCGGGUUGUAAAGCACUUUUGUCCGGAAAGAAAUCCUUGGCCCUAAUACGGUCGGGGGAUGACGGUACCGGAAGAAUAAGCACCGGCUAACUACGUG